UGAAACUAUAAAUAUACUCUACACUAUUUAAUACAUAGAAACACACCCAAAAUAAACCCAAAAAUCGACACUGUCGAUUUUUGGAUUUAUUUUCUAUGUUAGAUUACGGUUUUGACCUUUUGGUUUGAAUUUUUUGAAACAGGCCCAGAACUCGCUCUGCAAUUUUAGAUAAAGAGAAGGAGAAUGAAAAGAACGAAGGUGUUUAGAACUGGAAGAGAACGAAGGUGUUCAGAACGCCGACGUCGGUGGUGAGUGCGAGAAGAAGAUGAAGAUGAUUUCUCUUUCGCCUGCACUAACCCCGACGGAUCGCUGAUUUCCACCGACGACAUAUUCCAAAAUUAUCAGAUCCGUCUGGUGUUCCCGAUUUUCAACCCAGAUCUUCUGUUCGCCGACGACAAUGACGACGACGACGACAACGAUUCUUCCAAAGCCAGAUGUUGCAUACCGUAGAUCUGGAGACUUGUGCAAGAACACGCUGAGAUAAUGAGAAGCAAAAGACCAGGUGAAAAUAUGACAUUGGAUGACACAAAGAAGAUAAAGUAUACCUGGCAGGUUGCUUGUGAAAGCAUGCGGCUCUUCCCUCCUAUCUUUGGCUAAAACUUUGAGAAGAUUCUGCUCCUGGCUAUCAACAAGCUUGUGUUAUUUAUGUUUGGCUUGUGAAUGUUUUAAAUUCAACGAUUUAGUUUGUAUGGCAUAGGCUCUUGACAAGAUUAGAUUUGAGAGUAUGACUGACAAGCGCAAGCUCAAUGAUCAAUUAGAGCUUUCCAUCCCUGACAAAAACAACAAUACCUUGACUAUUAUUAAUAGUGGUAUUGGAAUGACCAAAGUUGAGGGCCUUUGCGAUUGCUUUUGGUGAAACUAUGGACAUUUGGAUGUGAUUUUUGCAAAGGAUAUCAGAUAUUUUGCUGGGCUUUUUUGGGUUUUUUUGACUUUUUUUUGUAUGAAAUAGUAUUAACAAUGUUUUUCUAUGAAAUGAUAUUAACAUUGUACUUCUAUGACAUGAU